rnacentral:rRNA from 1 species
AUUGAACGCUGGCGGCAGGCCUAACACAUGCAAGUCGAGCGAGCGUCGGACGCGUGAGUAAUGUAUGGGGACUGCCUGAUAUAGGGGGCUAACUACUGGAAACGGUGGCUAAUACCCCAUACUGUCGGAUAACCCAUAUGGUAUUAGCUAGUAGGUAAGGUAAUGGCUUACCUAGGCGACGAUCCCUAGCUGGUCUGAGAGGAUGAUCAGCCACACUGGGACUGAGACACGGCCCAGACUCCUACGGAGGCAGCAGUGGGGAAUAUUGCACAAUGGGCGCAAGCCUGAUGCAGCCAUGCCGCGUGUAUGAAGAAGGCCCUAGGGUUGUAAAGUACUUUCAGUCGGGAGGCGUUACCGACAGAAGAAGCACCGGCUAACUCCGUGCCAGCCGCCGCGGUAAUAG